rnacentral:lncRNA from 1 species
GUAAAAUGAUAUGGACUGUUAGAAUGUAAAAUAUAUGAAAUCAGUCAUUAUACGUUAGUGCUGCUCUGACAUAGGGACGUAUUAUUGAGAAGCAACUUUUGCUUGAUUUUCAGAGAAAUGGAAUCAUCGUAUCGCUGAUCUAUGUAAACAAACUGAAGAAUUGUCUGAAAGAAAAUAUGACAUGAACUUAUGAAUUCAACAGGUGAAGAUUUACAACUUGAUAAAUCAACUGUCAGGUACGUCUUCAGUCAAGUCAGAUUAGAAGAUUAUGUGAGCUCGAGCUGUAAAAGCCAAAGGUCCGGUGAUGAUCCCAUACCCUUUUUUCCAGUCUCAUGUUGAAGAUUUUUAUGUAGAAGGCCUUCCCAAAGGAAUUUUUUUUUUUUUUUUUUUUGAGAUGGAGUUUUCACUCUUAUCGCCCAGGCUGGGGUGCAAUGGCGCAACCUUGCUGGUCACUGCAACCUCUGCCUCCUGGGUUCAAGAAAUUCUCCUGCCUUAGCCUCCCAAGUCACUGGGAUUACAGGUGCCCACCACCAUACCAGGCUAAUUUUUGUAUUUUUAGUGGAGAUGCGGUUUCACCAUGUUGGCCGGGCCAGUCUCAAACUCCUGACGUCAAGUGAUCUUCCCGCCUCGACUCCUGAUAUCAAGUGAUCUUCCCGCCUCGGCCUCCCAGAGUGCUGAGAUUACAGACGUGAACCCAUGCCUGGCCAGGAAUUUUGUUUUUUAGGAAGGCUUUCUACUAAUGGAAUUCCUGGCCUUGAGAGGAUGUUACUUUAGAAGGAAAGGAUUUUUUUGUUAUUAAAAGCUGGACCUACCAUGAAAGACUUCUGAAUCCAGGAAGAGAAACUGACUGGGCAACAUGUUAUUCAGAUGGGGUCUUCUUAUGUUGCCCAGGUUGGUCUCAAAUUCCUAGGCUCAAGUGAUUCCGCCCACCUCUGCCUCCCAAAGUGCUGGGAUUACGGGCAUGAGCCAGCGCAUCUGGCCACCUUAUUUUCUAUUACUGGCUCAAUGUAAUGGCUCCAUCUCAGGAACAGCCAAUGAAAGAGAUGCACAGGACAAGGUAAGUGGGGAGGGGCACAGAGCUUCCAUGCCCUCUGUUGGGCACACUACCCUCCCAGGACCUCCUUGUGUUUAGCAACACAGAAGCUCUCCAAACCCUGCUGUUUGGGUGUUUAUGGAGGCAUGAUUGAUAAAAUCACUGGCCAUUGGUAGUUAAGUCAAUCUCCAGUUCCUUUUGCCUCCUGGAGUUCAGCAGGUGAGGCUGAAAGUUCCAAGCCUCAAAAAAUGUGGUUGGGGCCAGGUGCGGUGGCUCACUCCUGUAAUCCUAGCAGUUUGGAAGGCUGAGGCACAUGGACCACUUGAGGU